GGGGGGUCUCCAAAACACAGCAGGGCUCCCCCGGACCCUGCUGAUCCCCUGUCCCCAUCCCUGUCCUGUCCCAUCCCUGCCCCAUCCCUGUCCUGUCCUGUCCCAUCCCUGUCCCUGCCCCAUCCCUGCCCUGUCCCUGUCCCAUCCCUGUCCCAUCCCUGUCCCAUCCCUGUCCCUGUCCCAUCCCUGUCGCUGUCACAGGGGGUGCUGGGGGGCCUGGCCGUGGGCCUGGCACUGUCACUCUGGGUGGCCGUGGGUGCCACCCUGUACCCGCCCAGCGCGGCCACCAUGGGGGUGCUGCCCACCUGGGGGACGCUGUGCCCGCCCCACAACGCCACCAGCGCCACCAAUGCCACCAGCGCCAUCAGUGUCACCAGUGCCACCAGCGCCACCAGCGGCCCUGCCCUGCCCACGCCACCCCCGGAGCCGCUGCGCCCGGCCAUCCUGGGUGACUUCUACUCCAUCUCCUACCUGUACUACGGCGCCUUGGGGACACUGGCGACUGUGGGGACAGGGGCCCUGCUCAGCCUGCUGCCAGGGUCAGCGCGCUGUCCCCCGGGGGUGCUGUGGUGGGACAUCGUCAGGGCUGCACCCUCGGGUGGCCUCAAGGGUGACACCAGCGUUGGGGACGAGCCCCUGGACAAGGCCACGGUGACGCAGGCGCUGCUGGAGACGGGAGAGGAGCAGAAACCCCCGUGUGACCCCCCCAGGGGUGGCACUGUCACCGAGAGUGACGUGUAGGGGACAGCGGGGUGGGGACACAGUGCUGGCACCAAUAAAGGAGCUGCUGACCCUGGACA
rnacentral:lncRNA from 1 species